GAUGAACGCUGGCGGCGUGCCUAAUACAUGCAAGUCGAGCGAACAGAUGAGGAGCUUGCUCCUCUGACGUUAGCGGCGGACGGGUGAGUAACACGUGGAUAACCUACCUAUAAGACUGGGAUAACUUCGGGAAACCGGAGCUAAUACCGGAUAAUACAUUGAACCGCAUGGUUCAAUAGUGAAAGACGGUUUUGCUGUCACUUAUAGAUGGAUCCGCGCCGCAUUAGCUAGUUGGUAAGGUAACGGCUUACCAAGGCAACGAUGCGUAGCCGACCUGAGAGGGUGAGCGGCCACACUGGAACUGAGACACGGUCAAGACUCCUACGGGAGGCAGCAGUAGGGAAUCUUCCGCAAUGGGCGAAAGCCUGACGGAGCAACGCCGCGUGAGUGAUGAAGGUCUUCGGAUCGUAAAACUCUGUUAUUAGGGAAGAACAAAUGUGUAAGUAACUAUGCACGUCUUGACGGUACCUAAUCAGAAAGCCACGGCUAACUACGUG
rnacentral:rRNA from 1 species